rnacentral:rRNA from 1 species
UACGAAGGGGGCUAGCGUUGUUCGGAUUUACUGGGCGUAAAGCGCGUGUAGGCGGGUCGUUAAGUUGGGGGUGAAAUACCGGAGCUCAACUCCGGAACUGCCUCCAAAACUGGCGACCUGGAGCAGAUGAGAGGCGAGUGGAAUUCCGAGUGUAGAGGUGAAAUUCGUAGAUAAUCGGAGGAACACCAGUGGCGAAGGCGACUCGCUGGCAUCUUGCUGACGCUGAGACGCGAGAGCGUGGGGAGCAACCAGG